AUUUGUGGGAAACGACGGCGACGACGAAGGGCCGAUCCUGUUGAGGGAAGAACUGGAUGGACGUGAUUGUUGUCACAGUCAAGAGUGCAAUCUAUUCUUUGACAACAAGUUUUGAGCUUGGUAAAAGAAAGAAAGUUUUUUUUUUUUUUUUUUUUUUUUUUAUAUAUAUAUAAUUGUAUUAAUUUCUAAACUUAUUUUAAAAUAAAUAAAUAAAAUUUUAUGUUUAAAAUGUCUUGAAAAGCCAAGAAGAGUUGUAGAAAAUAAAAUCAUCCAAAAUUUACAAAUAUUUUGUAGAAUAGUAGUAGUUUUACAUGAUAAGCUCAUAGAAGUUUACUUUUUCAUAGUCAAAUCUUUAAAAUCAUUCAACAAAUUUGUUUUUUCUUAAUACUAGAGGAGAUUUAAGAUAUUUUAUCUACAAAUAAAUAAUCUAUUUAAUUAAUAAGUUAAUGUUGAAUGUAUAUUAUUGCAUGCAAGAAACUACACAUAAAUAUGUGAAAUAACACUAAUAAAAUCUGACAACAAACAUUUUUAGUCUUGUCUUUAGUACAACUUUGAAAACAACAUCAAAGUUGAUUAAACUUUUAGCCUAAUUUUGUUUAAUUAUUAGAAAUCUAGAUACAAUUGAGCUCCAUUCUCUCUUGCUAUUCUUCUAUUAUAAUAUUACACUAUUUAAUAUCAUUCAUCUAUUUAUCUUCAAAAAUUAUAUUUAGUACAAAAGUUAACAAUCCACAAAAUCAAAUGAAGAUUCAAGGAUAUUAGGCUUUGCUAUUCAAGUUUUUUAAUGUACCUUAGAUGAACUUAACAAUUAUCAAAUUGUAUACAAGUAAUCAAAACAUUCAAUUUGAAGAAACUUUAAAAUAAAAUUUAACAAAAUAUUUUCUAAUUUUAAAUACAAAUAGACGAUUAUUUAUAAUAUUUCCAAUGAUUAUAUAAUAUUUUUAGUUAUUUUGCAGUCACCCUACACAGACCCGAGCCUUCGAUUGUUUGAGAAUUUGUGUGGUUGUGUAGUUUUUCGCAGAUCGGAUCAGCAGUGUAGAAGAUCAACAGGAGGUGUGCUUCAGUGAUUUUGUCUUUAUGAGGAACUCGGUUGUGCUCGAGUCCUGAGUCAUUGCACGCCGCAAUCGCGCAGGAUGAGAGAGGUUAUAUCUGCGACAGAUUAUCGAUUGUUGAAAAGCAGUACUGAAUUCUGGAUUGGUCAUAUAUCACGAUUGAUGACUCAAUUCUACUCCUCUCCUAUUGACUUUAAGGAUUUGACUUCAGCUUAUAUAGAUAUUAACAUGGACGUUUUUCGGCAGAUUGGAUGAUUAGGGAUGCCAAGAUGGCCGUCGUUCUGUGGUUCUAUGCAAUUUCUGCAUUUUGCUGUCAAGUGACGCUUGAGAUGGUUGCUUCUAUUCAUUGAGAGACCGUAAAUGCACUUUAAGACACUACAAUUUGCCGAUUCAAUGGCGGUAUGGUGUUAUCUGUAAACAUGGUGAUUUGUAAAGGAUUAUUAUCAUAUCAUAGAAUAUCUGUGACAGUGUUGCUGUUCUGAUGCCUGAAAUCGACUUCCAAGCUCCAUGAAUUGUUUCGACGCUAUGAUGCGACUUCAGUACACGGAUUGAACAUCGGAUCUAUGCUACAUUGCCAUGCACAGAACUGCAAAUAGGUGACAUUUGCUAGUUCAUUCAGGGUGGAAACCUCUUAUGUUUGGUUUGCCGAUCAGCUGCGGAAGUCAUAAAGAGGACUUUUAUUACUUCAAUGACUCUACUGUCCAAAUUGGGAACAUCAUGGAAAGCAUCAAGCAAAAACAGCGAACCUGAAACCUUAGACCAAAUAUAUAUCCUACGUUCAGCUUCAAUUAAUGUCCUUCUCUAGUUUUAUAGUAUCAAACGCCAAUUUCCGACAAAAAAAAAAAAAAAAAAAAAAAAAAAAACACACACACAUAGUUCGACUGCAAUGCCGACAUCCUAUUGUAACGUAUCUUAGGCUGAUUUGUUGUCUUUCAUCUUGCAGAGUGUUCAAGGUUGGUUAGCGAAGUUGGACACACAAGGUAACUCGUACAAUUAGAUGAUUUGAGAAGCAUUCAUUCUUCCGAUGCAUGUGUACUCAAGAUCACUAGGCCAUCUCAGGGGGAUUGAGCGAGCAGUUUUGCAUUAAAACAGAUUUCAUCGACGCGUGCCCCGAUCGAUGCGUGAGCUGAUAGGUUAACACGGUGAGAUUCUGAGAAUAUUAUUUUUACUGAUGCAUGUUUGUCGCUCAGAAUAGGUAGAGAAUUAUCGCAGUUGUCAUUUUUUGAUUAAAAUACAAAUAUGCCCUCUUGGUUUGCAUGAAUGCAGACAAAAGGUUAAGGUUUAUUCUCAUACCUAAAGGGAAAUUCUUUGUGAUAUGUUGAAAUCAUUAAAUGUAGCUUGCGCUCUCCAUAAUAUUUACUAUAGACUAGAAUAA
rnacentral:lncRNA from 1 species